rnacentral:rRNA from 1 species
UAGGGAAUCUUCGGCAAUGGACGGAAGUCUGACCGAGCAACGCCGCGUGAGUGAAGAAGGUUUUCGGAUCGUAAAGCUCUGUUGUUAGAGAAGAACGUUGGUAGGAGUGGAAAAUCUACCAAGUGACGGUAACUAACCAGAAAGGGACGGCUAACUACGUGCCAGCAGCCGCGGUAAUACGUAGGUCCCGAGCGUUGUCCGGAUUUAUUGGGCGUAAAGCGAGCGCAGGCGGUUCUUUAAGUCUGAAGUUAAAGGCAGUGGCUUAACCAUUGUACCCUUUUGAAACUGGAGGACUUGGAUUCAGAAGGGGAUAGUGGAAUUCCAUGUGUAGCGGUGAAAUCCGUAAAUAUAUGGAAGAACACCGGUGGCGAAAGCGACUCUCUAGUCUGUAAAUGACGAAGAGGCUCGAAAGCGUGGGGAGCAAACAGG